rnacentral:snoRNA from 1 species
AAGACUAUACUUUCAGGGAUCAUUUCUAUAGUCUGUGACUGGAGAAGUUUCUCUGAACGUGUAGAGCACCCGAAACCACGAGGAGGAGACGCAGUGUUCUCUCCUGAGCGUGAAGCCGGCUCUUGGUGUUGCCUGUGCAGCUGCCACUUGCCCUUGAUGAUCGUUCUCCUCUCUUGAUGAUCGUUCUCCUCUCUCUGGUUGAGAGAGGCAGAGGGAGAGAACACCGUCUGAGUGGU